ACUGCGAGUGAAGCGGGAAAAGCUCAAAUUUAAAAUCUAAUGGUCCUUGCCAUUCGAGUUGUAAUUUAGAGAAGCGUCUUCCGCGCCAGACCAUGUACAAGUCUCCUGGAACGGAGCGUCGUAUAGGGUGAGAAUCCCGUCUUUGACAUGGACCCUCGGUGCUUCUGUGAUGCGCUCUCAAAGAGUCGAGUUGUUUGGGAAUGCAGCUCAAAAUGGGUGGUGAACUCCAUCUAAGGCUAAAUAUUGGCGAGAGACCGAUAGCGAACAAGUACCGUGAGGGAAAGAUGAAAAGCACUUUGGAAAGAGAGUGAAACAGUACGUGAAAUUGUUGAAAGGGAAACACUUGAAGUCAGUCGCGUCGAUCAAGACUCAGCCUUGCCCUUGGCUUGGCGUACUUCUUGACUUGACGGGCCAGCAUCAAUUUUGUCCCUCGGAUAAUGGCGAGUGAAAGGUGGCACCUUCACGGGUGUGUUAUAGUCUCUCGUCGCAUACGAGGGGUGGGAUUGAGGAACUCAGCACGACGCCGCGAGGUGCGGGGCUUCGGCUC
rnacentral:rRNA from 1 species